GGAGGAGCACGAAGGUUGGCUAAUCCUGGUCGGACAUCAGGAGGUUAGUGCAAUGGCAUAAGCCAGCUUGACUGCGAGCGUGACGGCGCGAGCAGGUGCGAAAGCAGGUCAUAGUGAUCCGGUGGUUCUGAAUGGAAGGGCCAUCGCUCAACGGAUAAAAGGUACUCCGGGGAUAACAGGCUGAUACCGCCCAAGAGUUCAUAUCGACGGCGGUGUUUGGCACCUCGAUGUCGGCUCAUCACAUCCUGGGGCUGAAGUAGGUCCCAAGGGUAUGGCUGUUCGCCAUUUAAAGUGGUACGCGAGCUGGGUUUAGAACGUCGUGAGACAGUUCGGUCCCUAUCUGCCGUGGGCGCUGGAGAACUGAGGGGGGCUGCUCCUAGUACGAGAGGACCGGAGUGGACGCAUCACUGGUGUUCGGGUUGUCAUGCCAAUGGCACUGCCCGGUAGCUAAAUGCGGAAGAGAUAAGUGCUGAAAGCAUCUAAGCACGAAACUUGCCCCGAGAUGAGUUCUCCCUGACUCCUUGAGAGUCCUGAAGGAACGUUGAAGACGACGACGUUGAUAGGCCGGGUGUGUAAGCGCAGCGAUGCGUUGAGCUAACCGGUACUAAUGAACCGUGAGG
rnacentral:rRNA from 1 species